UACGUAGGUGGCAAGCGUUGUCCGGAAUUAUUGGGCGUAAAGAGCUCGUAGGCGGUUUGUCGCGUCUGCUGUGAAAUCCCGAGGCUCAACCUCGGGCCUGCAGUGGGUACGGGCAGACUAGAGUGCGGUAGGGGAGAUUGGAAUUCCUGGUGUAGCGGUGGAAUGCGCAGAUAUCAGGAGGAACACCGAUGGCGAAGGCAGAUCUCUGGGCCAUUACUGACGCUGAGGAGCGAAAGCGUGGGGAGCAAACAGG
rnacentral:rRNA from 1 species